rnacentral:tRNA from 1 species
GGGUGCUUAGCUCAGUUGGUAGAGCAGCGCCCUUACAAGGCGUAGGUCGGGAGUUCGAGCCUCUCAGCACCCA